GGCACUGACACACAGCCCCGGCGCGGAGCGGCUGGUGGUGGGUAGGAAGGGAUGGCCGGGCGCUGCCCUGACUGGAAACCCCGCUGGGGAGGGCCGGGCCGCCCGUCCUGCGGCUGUGCGGCCUGCCCCCGGCCCGCCGCCGCCUGUGGUGGCAGCGAGGGAGGGAGGGAGGGAGAGGCGGCCCACGGGACGCGUGGGCCUUCGUCCACACGGUCCUGCUUUGGGCUUGGGAGAUUUUGGCUGGGGGAUGGAGCACGGGCAAGAUGUGCUACUUGAGGGGCUGGAAAAACGUGUGAAAGCCAGAGUGCAGAGCCCAGGGUUGCCUUGCGGUACCAGGCCCGUGAUGUGUAACCCUGUCGCCAGCCCUGUUACAUGUUCCCAAAGACGCCUCGUGCUCCACAGCAGCGCGUCCAUCGGGAUAGCCGACGUCCCUUUCUCUCCAAGUUCUCGUUGGGAUAACACGGUCCCUCUCUCCCCAAGUUCUUGCAAGCCCAAGGUAGGAGCCCUGGGUUAGUUAUAGCUCAAAGACAGGUCAAAAGGACAUGAUGGUUGGUUUUAGGUUAAUUUAGAACAUCAGGAGCUGGAAACGUAAAUGCCAGGGCAGUCUAAAAGGGGUCAGAGAUCCACUGGUGAAGGGUGUUUUAGAAAUGCAACAUGCUACUCUUUUUACGUAGAUUAUUACACCUUUGGAUGUGAACAGCCUAUCAUUAGCCCUGCUGUAAAAGCAGGAUGCCCAUUGCCUGCAAAUAAUUAUGGUAUAUCUUAGCCUUUUGCUUAUUUCAGUCCUAAGUAACAUAGGCACUUUUUUCCCUAGUGUCACUAAUAUUUUCCAGUUACAAAGGGUUUAACUGAUAAAGGUUAAAAAGAAACGAGCAUUUACAUUACUAGGAAACACUUAGUAAGCAAAUAGUUAACGUGGUACGUUCAGAUAAAACUUUUGCCCAGAGGAAGUCCACAGCAGAGUGUAAAACUGACAGGAAGUUGCAGUGAGGCUUCUGGCAAGGAGAGUGGGUGUGGAGGAAGCACAGGCUUUCUGUUUGUAGCACAGAGAUAGAAAAGGGAUAAAAAAAAGAGAGAUUACAUUUCCCCAAGUUGCAUGAUGGAGAGUUCCUUGCUAUAAAUGUUUGGAGACCGUACAGCUUCAAAUGAAUGUGUGGGAGACGCUAGAGCUCAGAGCAAACGGAGUCAAAGAAUGACCGGUGAAAUGAACUGCCCUUGGAGAACACUUUUAGCAGCACAUGAUGCACAAAGAAGAUUACUACCUUCUGAAUCACCAGCUCCUGUGAUACCUGGAUAGUUCUUCAAAGUCUUCCAUGAAAGGACUGGGUACAACGGCAGUUAAGUGAUGAUGAUGACUGAUACAUUCACAGUUUAGAUAACACGGCAGUAUAAAGUUCUAAACUGAUGCUUAGUUUCCCCCAUUUAUAAUUCUGCGCUCUUCCUGAGAAUGUCCUUCUUCACUCUGUUACCAGAUACUUUAGAAUAAUGCAUUGAGCAGAAUAGAAUAGCCUGAGCAAAGAGAGUACUGGGACCUUAGUGGUAGUCUCAAUCAAGUGUAUGGGAAGUGGGUACUUUUGACUCUGCUUUACCAGAACAUGAAAGUACGGAAUUUUGACUUGGGAAAAGAGUGUUUAUAAUUAUAACUGAAUGUCAGUACCAACAUUUUAACUAUUGUACCUUUCUUUAGUUCUUUGGUUUUUGAUUUUGCAUUGUUACUCUUUUUUAGAAUACUCAUUUAUAUCCAGAUUCAGACUCUGCUGGAGACAGAGGAAAAGCUACUGUUGAUUUUAAUAAGCUUUAUAGCAGGACUUAAAUUCAGCCCUUGAGGAAUGUGCAACGUUUAGCAAUACUUGCAUUUAAAAUAUAUAUUCACUUCUGGUUUAUGUCAAUAUUAAGACAGGAGCAAGUAUAUUUAAUGAUGACAGGUCUAAAAAUACUCUGUGUUUUUUGUCCUGCUUCCCCCAGCAGCAGAAUUAUAUCCCAAUUAACAUAGCAAUUUACACUGAAAUAUAGCUAUAGAUAUGAUUUUUUUUGCUUCCUUUCGUUUCUGUCCACUUCAGAAUCAAGCCUUAACACAAUGGGCCAAAAGCAUUCACAGGGAAAUCAUUAGUUACAUUAACAGUUCCUUAGUUUUGGUACUCAGUUUGGUUAGAAGAACAAAAUGUACAGCACAGAAAGGAGAAUUUAUUUCCUAACUUUGUGAGAUCGUUUUCUCCUUAGCUUGCUUUGUAGACAUGGCCUUGUUCUGCCAUAUCUUUCCUCUGGCUAUGGAAGCUGUUGCUGAAACUACAAUCAGGAGAGAGGUCUUAAUGAGGAUUGUUAAAGUCUACACCAAGGAAUACACAUGUUCCUUGCCUUUUAAAGCUAGCCAAAAAGCAGGAUAUUUUUUUUUCCUUUUCAUUAAUCUUUUUUGCAAAACGAAUGCAUUGUGGGUUUUUUAGCUGAUAAAAAUUUCUUUGUUUUACUUCUUUCUUAAUGAGUCAGUAAAUGGCAAACCCCUCAAACAACCAUUUCAUUACAGUGUUUAGCACUAAUUCAACUGUAUAUUUUAGUUGGGAGGCGGUAUUUUAGUGAAACUUUAUCCCCCAAAUAACCAAGGUAAAAAGAGGAAAAUGUUGACAAUUAUGCUGAUUUUGGAUGAGUGCAUGUAUUCAAACCAUCUCCAAGUAAGUUGCUACAUCUGCCACAGGCCAUGGCUCACAGUCUGAUCUGGAAAAGUUUUGAUGCUUUUUCAUGUCAGAUGGGUGCUAUGAUUAUCGGUGGCAUCGGAGCUGUGCAGAGACAUGCUGAUGUCCCGCUCUGUGUCCUCUUGCUCCCUCUUGCCAUACUCUUUGCAGCUUGCUUGGUUCAUUUUAGCCUGUCUUUCAGGGUGGCUUAUCAGCUAGUAGGCCUACAACAUAUUUGCCCCUUUCUGCUGUCACUUUCAGAAGGACUCAGGGGUCAAAUCCCUUCUUGUUCCUUAACUGGCCUGAGGUUCUGAAUAGAUUAUUUGUGUAAUAGAUUUAUUUUAUGAAUCCUUUCAUUUAACUACUAUGCAGUUCUGCUGAACUUCAAAUUGAGGAUUUCAUAAUACCCUAUUCCCGUGAGAUGUCUGUGUUGUUAUAUUCAAUUUUUAUCAAUAAAAAUAUGCAUUUGAAAUGAAAAUGCUGUCCUCUCCAAACCUUUCUUACAAAUUCAGAAUUCCUUCAAGGUCCCAAGCCUUUUAACUACCUCUGCACUACACAGAAUCUUCUAUUACAACCUCGAGCAGCAAAGAAUUUAUUAUAAUUUGAGCUCUAGACAGUAUUUUAACAUUCAGAGGAGGCUGAGUGAAGAGGAGCCCUGUGAAUCACUACCAAAGAUAGGGACGGAAUGGAAGCUGUUGCCCCGGUGUUGCGUUUCCUUGCGUGAAGGUGAUACUCCUGUUGCCCUGGUGCUGUGUUUCACGUGCUAAGUUAUAUCAACAGUCCCUGUAGGCCUUUCAACCCCACAGUCUGCAAGCAGCUCCACCCUGCAGAUGCAGUUUUAAGGAAAGCCACAAUCCUUUUAUAAGCUAGUUAUUAUUGAAAGAAACCAGCUCUUCAGUUUCAAACUAUUUCUUGGCCUCUGCAGAAUGAGAAGGAAGACGUUGUUCCAGGAAGGGACCCACAUGUUGGUGUUGAUGGCCCAGGGUCUGUCUCUCAGAGUCAUCUGGCCCUUUCCUGCGAAGACGUGGAUGGAGAGUAGAAAGGCUUUGUUGUGUUCCACAAGUGAUAUGGGAAGUUGGGGAGGCAGAUGGUAUCAGCAAGGCAAAAAGAAAUGAGGCAAAUUUGCAGAUAAAAAGUCAGUAAACGUGCUAACAGCACUAGACAGCAACGCAGCAUCUAACAUCCCUCAAACGGCAAUUCUCCUUGUUGGGAGAUGGAGAAGAAUGGACCACAGGGAGUGUCUAGACUCACAUGCUCUCCAUGAACAACAUCUUCCACUGCCCACACUGAAGACAGAAUACUGGAUGAGAUGGAUCGUUAGUUUGACUUGCUGGGACAUUUCUGCUGCUCUUAAUUAGGACCUGAUAUUUGAAAUUAUUAUUGUUUUUCAGUGAAAUUUUCAUAGCACUUGGAUUGUAAUAGCGAUCAUGUAUCAAAUUAAAUAAGGAGAAGUCAUGUUUGUCCUACUUUUUAUUGCCAUAGGGUGCAUUUCUAUCUUGUAGGUGUUCUUCCUUACUUGCAGCACAUCAUAUAACUAUUGGUGUCUCAGUCUGUAUUUCUGAGGGGGUGGAUCUAAAAGCCACUGCCUGAAGGGAGAGAGGAAGGGAGACUGAGACAGCUGGAAACAGAUAAUGUACCAGAUGUGGGCUCGUUCUUUUAAAAUCCCAAAUUUCUCUUCCAAUUUUUAAAAAAUCUAGGUUUUAUUCCAGGUAGAAGGGUGAUCAAGUCUGACACAGUGAGUUUUUUCAGGCUCAUAUUCUGUUAUCAAUCUGAUUUACCUCGCUUACUUAAUCCCUUUGGAAAUUGUAUCAUCUGACCUAAUUUUUUCAGCAGUGACUCUUACGGCAAGAACAAAUAAUAGGGGUGACCCUGUGCAUUCCUGCCAUAUCUCUUUCUCUGUAAUGUGGAUUAUUCCAGUUUCAGUCCACAUUCGUCUGUGAAGAGACAAAGAUCAGUUCAAAACAGCCAAUACACUCCUGCAAAUUCACAUUUGGCAGUACUGUAAGUGGGUAAAUAUUGCCAACAUGUAUUGAUUGCUUUUUCUGCUUCAGCCAACAGACCCUAAGUUAUCUGCCAAAUAUUAGUUUUUUUGUAAAUGACACCUCACAUUGCCUGUUGUUGCAUGAGCUGUAUCAAUUCACUGCAAACCUCACCUGCUCUGAGGGUGUUAUUGGCUCUAUAGGGGAUUCUGCUCUUUUCAAGAACAGAUUUUGUGAUUCCCCCUUUAAUCCAAAUUUGGAAGAGAAACAGCUUGCUAAUAGUGAGACUUCCAGUUAUGGCCAUUUGCCACCUUUUAGGGAGCUGUCUAUCUGCUCACUUGCUGUGGCACUGCAAGGUGGAAACCUUAUAAAUUGCUUUUAUCUCUCUUGGGCCGUUAUUAUUUCUCUGUGUGUGCGUGUGUGUACUUGUGUGGUGUGUUUGUGUAACCUGAUAAGAUGCCUUAUGGUCUACUCUGUUAAUACGCCUUCUGUGUCGCUCCUGCUGCAGCCAGCAGCCGAGCUGCCCUCACCACUUGUGGUGGGUGAUGGAGAAUGCUCAGAAUUCAACAAGUGUCUGCUGGCUCAGCUGAUUUUUUAUCCACUACAAAGGCAGGCCUCCAGUGCGGAGGAAAGCAUGCUCUGCUCCGAGCAGCAAUAUUCUGGGUUGCUGAUGGUCUUGAGGGAGAUGCUGUUUCGGAUUCAAAAACAGAUGGAAAAAAAAAAAACGUUUCCCCAAAGCAGUUCUUUCCCUUUGCCAGAAACAGACCUGUUUUAUGAAAGAACUAUGGAGCUGGAUGCUGUUGCAUCAUCUCGAUAUGGAAGCUGAGCAAAGGAAAUAUUUUAUUGAGUUUUAUUGUUCUUACAAGGAUUAUAAAAUAAUUACUCCUUCUACUAUGAGGAGGUCUAAUAGGUCCAAUAUCAAUGUCCUAGGCAUUACAGAAACGUGGCAGAGACAUAUCCUGCUUUAACAAAGAUAUAGGCCAUUUCAAGAAGAUGUGGAAAUCGGUUAUUGCUGCUUUUGACAUGACAUUGGUGGUUAUUGUGAAGACCCGUAUGAAUAAACGAAAUCAAUAAUGCAAGACGAAUGCCUCCCUUUAACAGCAACUGCUGCAUGAAGUAGUUCGUUUAAGAACCCUUUGCCGGACUGGAAGGUGUACGGUGACUUAUAAAUGCUUUCACUACAGGUUCUUUUUCUGCCAUGGUCAUUAAUCAACUCAAACUUUCAUUCAGCUUACUGUUAUGAAGAAAAUCGUACUUCUUGUAUUGCGUAGCUACAGUGUGAUGGGGAAACUUCAGACCCUUCCUCCUCUCACCGAGCUCUUCCUCAGUGCAUCUGUGUAGUGGCAGCAAAGGAAAUGAGCUUAAGAGCUCCUGGCCUAGCGAGUAUUACCUCCGUUAGCUGUUGGUACUGAGAACAGCCCAUGUGGGAGAGCAGCUGGAAAAGGCUUGAACACCAUCCCUUCACCUCCCCUCACCGGUUUUCUGUUCCCCAUUCCCCAAAAUGGGCUUGAACUAGGAGUGAUUUAAUUCCAUAAUGAGAUUCCUAUUGAUUGGAUCAGUCCCUCAAAUAGAAGAAAUAUCAUCCUCAGUUUCAAAGUAUUUGUGGUGCUAAAAGCCUCUGGUUUUUUUAAUCUUUUAUUUUUAAAUGAAGGGAAACUGAGGCAGAAAGGAGCAGUAGCACGAGGGACAGAACUUCAAGCAGGGUGGUCUUCCUCCCUUUUUAUGCAGGGGACUGUGGAGGUCCUCAUGUGGGGUCCUUGUGAUAGGAUGGAUGGUGCAAGCUGCUGAUUAACUGUUUUGAACGAGCUUACAGCUUUGCAGUUGGAGGGCUAAUGGGUAAGGAAUUAUUACCUGCUCUUGGAUCUCAAUUAUGCAAUCUUUGUCUCUGGUCUUCUGUGAAGCAAGGAAAUUGAAGCAGAGAUGAAAUUUAUUAGCAGGACAAGCUGCAUUAUGAAUGUGGUAAAUGCUGAUGUCUUAUUGCAAAUGAGGUAUUUGCUAAAUAGAAAUGCUUUUAAAACAGUAUAAUCCUUCACUGUCCCUCCAGGACAAACAACUGGAGAGCAGUGAUUGCAAAAAUCAUUUAGGUCAUGCAAAUCAAGCUCCAGCAGCAGUGUUUCAUGCAGUGAGAAAGGAUGGCUAGACUGUCCUAUUAAGAAGCCUUGUAAUGAUAAAACAUGAUUAAAAUGACUUAGAAGAAAUUACCAAGUGGGGGUCAAGAAGGGCUAAGAAGGGCAAGCUGAUCAUGGAAAUGUGUUUUUAAAUGGACUAAUUCCAAGGGAGUAUGUUUAUCAUAGUCACACAUAAAUGGCUGAACAAUAAUCACACCAAAAUUAUGUGAAAAUUAUCGCCCUUACAGGGUCUGAGGGUAGUUUCGUAGCUUUUUAUAUACAAAGCUGAUUUACAUCAAGUGACACAGGGGUCUAAAAUUCUCACAUAAUGUUUUCACAAAAGAUGACGAUCAGCUUUCUUCUGGACUUAAAUUUAAACGUCACCUGGACAAAUAUCAAGUUACCCAAUAUUGUACAGUGUAAGCAGAAUGUAACAAAAGGUGCUGCAGCUAAUGCUGCUGCAGUAAGCUUUAUUGUACAGGGGAGCCAGCUCUGUCAUUUGCGGAUCCUGGAGAUGAAUUUCCUUUACAGUGGUGCUGGCCUGCCAGUCUGGCUGAAUGAAGACAGUAUAAUUGCUGUCUUUAAUGGAGCUAAACAAUCUGGGAUAUUUUUUAUGGCUGGCAAUACCUGCAGGAAACGUAUCGAAUGCACUGUUUGGUUACAACAGGCCGUGCAGAGGCCCUUCACAACUUGGAGAGCAUUGACUCUCCGGUGUUACUGCACAGCAGAGCUGAGAAGUACGUCUUUAUAAGCUAAUGGUUAUAAACCAGAUUGAACAGCAAGCUGUCUCUUGGCAAACACCGAGAAGCAUGUCUGUUCCUCCUCCCCCCUCCUUCCCAGCCACCCCUUGCUUCAAUUCUCAGAAUUAUUUCUGUUUCCACCUUUCGGAGGUUUUGGUGCUGGGGGCCCAAGGGCGGUUCUGGUGCAUGCAACUCCCCAAAGUCAGCGACGCCAGCCCGAAACCGCAUGCUCACACGACCGCUGAAGCUCGGCUUCGGACCUGCUGGCUCCAAAUUUGAGGAAUGCAGAUUUUUGAUUAGCUACCAAAGCAGGAAGCCAGCUGGUUCUGGGACUACAUCAGCUGCUUCCCAGCCUUCCUCACCAAUGGCACGUGGAUGGUGAGGGUGAAGAAAGGUUCAGGAGGACAAUGGCUAGCACCAAGAGGAAGGGACAACAAGGCCAUCUUUGGCCUGGCCACGGAGUCAUAGCAGGGAAACUGAGAGGCCAAUUAGAUCUCUACCCAACAGUACGAUGAAGAGCACAGGAGCUAAUUACGUACGAGGUGUUACUGUGACAACCCACGAGGCAGCGGCUCACUGAAAACAAAGUACGGAAACGUAAAGCUGAAACCAGAGGGGAAAAAAAAAGAGAAGAUAAAAAACAUGAAAGAAAGGGGAAAAAAGGUACAAGAGAAGCGAGAGCAAACGAAAAGGUCAAGAUACAAUUUGAAAGGAUGGGGAGAAAAAAGGAGUUGGUAGUGAGGGGGGCAACAGGAGAGAUGCGUGAUCAGAAAUGAAGCGUUUGAUAGCCUGGUUAGCAAACAAGAUACCAGGAUGUGGUGCUUUCACACCGAAGACCCAGAGAUGUUUUGGUUGGGGUUUUUUAAUCUGACUUUAACCAUCUCAAAGUUAGGUGUUCAGCCUGAGGAGGUCUCCUAGGCUCUGUCAGGAGUCAGCAGAGACAAGUACGAGGGGACGCUCAGUUGUUCUGCAGUCAGCGUGGACGCGGUGGGUCCACAGACAUUUCCUUUGCUGUCAGCGAUGGCUUUAAUUAAAUUGCAGCUCUUUUUGUCUCCUUGCCUCCUCGCUCCCCUGCACUGUCCUGUGACUGGUGCUGGUGAAGCUGUUGUUGGGGGGGGUGUGCAGUGAAUUGCCUUGGGAAAUCCGGGAGAACUCUCGUGAGUCCACGUCGGUCAUUUGAUGUGGCGGUCACAGAGCGGCCGCGCAGAGUUUGGCUGACCCCGCCGAGGGAGUCUCGUGGAGGCACAAACGAGUGGUUGAAAGAAAUGGUGAUCCCUGGUUAAGCCGCCGCUGCCGGUGGAAAGGCUGUCCGUCCGUUUGCUGUGCUGGUGGGUGGUGUCUCGUCCAUUGGAGAUGUCUCGGUAGA